AUGCAUUCUCCACACUGCAUCUGCUCCCUCCCUCUCUCUCUCUCUGUCUCUCUUUCACCCCCCCCCCCCCCCCCCACACACACACACACAAACACACACCUUUCUCAGCAUUUAUGUUUUCUUCACACACCAUGCUCUCCUGGAAAUUCCCACGUGCAGGUGAUAUUUUGAAGGGUUUAAAUGUCUCAGAUAGUGUUUUUUAGAAAUUAAUUAAUAGUGCCGUUCUCUUUCAAUUCUCACAUUUCAACCUCUGGAAUACGUAUGGUUAUAGCCUCCAGGAUUGACGAGGGAAAGAUGAAGACAGAAAGAUAACAAUGUGGAGACAAAGGCAUAAUGACAUGAUGCAACAUGGAUAUGUGGAUGUGAGGGUUCUGCAGAGUGAGGUUGAGACUGGGGCAUGGGUUCAGCUUUGAUGAGCAAGUGAAAGCUAAACGUCACAGUUAAUCUUUACUAGCAAGCACAGUUUGCUGCCACCAGCAAAGGCACACUGGUGCGUGUACCCUUGCGCCCAUGUUUGUUUGAAUGCAAUUUCACAAUGCACUGGAGGAUCUACUGGGAGCAUUCUUCAUGAAGAAAACCACAUUAUUCCGAAAGAAAACAUAAAACAAAAGACUUCGCAUCAGUCUUCAUUACUUGCUUGCACACAAUGGAAAUGGGUGAAUGUGUGACCUCAAAGAAUGCAGUUCUUCAUAAAGAAAAUGUUGUAUGCAUUCAUGUAUGCAUUUGAAUGUAGAAAUGUGCUUUCACUCAUUGCAGAGCUGCCUAAGUGGAAUACAUGAGAGGGAGAUAGAAAAAAAAUGGGGGAGGGGGCCAAAAAACAGCCAAUCAGUAUUCACAUAAUCCUGUUUGAUCUUGAGCAUAUGUUGUAGUUCUUAUAUACACAUGAAACGCUAUACAGAUACAAAUAUGCAAUUUCAUAUUUUCAGAUUUUUUUUUUAGCAAUAACACAUGCCAUAAAAUGUGCACUACUAACAGACUUUUGGAAUGUUACUGCAUCUUUUUGUCUGCAGGCUGUUUGCGCUGCCUUUGUGUCCCUUCUGUCUGUUUCACAGAACCAUCUGCUUAAUCGUGGGCAUGAUACCUUGAUGCUUACCUGAAUCAGCAGUAAACAGGGACAGCAGCUACAGAAACACACCUGGUGGACACAGAGAGACAGCUGCCCAGCAGCUACCUCCAGCAUGUCAAACAAAAAUUUGCAUUUCUCUGUCAGGCCAGUCACCUGAUAAAAAGACACGUCGUUACAUGUCAGACGACGCUUCUGAGGAUGACUGCAGAUGCAGUCGAAACAUGUCAAGCCAUCCUCUGGAGUGAGGACAUGAGACUCCUGCCGGCCUCUUGGAGAGAGGGCGUGGACCUUCCCCCCCAGACUGCCGCUCCCCUGGAGCCUGACUUUCCCCUCCCUCACCUGUAGUGUGUUUGGCACAGAGGCUGCAGGUGGAAUGUGAUCCAGAUCCGUAAUCAGCAUCAGCUGAGGCAUGAGCAGGUUUAGCUCAUCCAAUCAAAACCCACCUCUGCUGCAAUAAAGUCAGACGCCACUCACCACUCAUUGCUGGCCUGUGAACGAUCUAUAUCUGGAUUCCACCUGCUUGUGCGCCGUGGUUUUCUGCCCACCUGGUCUUCCGAAUACCUGGCUGAACGACUCACCUGCAUUCCACUCACCUGGACCAUUAUCCUCCCUCAGCCACCUUCCCUGCCGUUUCACUGCAGGAGCCUGUUGUCACAGCCUCCGAACCCUGACGUCCUCACCACCAGCCACACACCGUGUCUGCUCCUGACCACACCAUCCUGGUGAGAAGAUUCCCCUGGUCCCUGUCCCUUCUGUAUAGUUCAGCUAAGUCCCAGUCUGAGCAUUCCAGUUUGUGUAGACCCAGAGUUAUUCAGUGUUUGUUGGAUUCCUGUGUAAGAUAAGCUAAGAUAAGAUAAAGUUCUUUAUUUCUCCCCACGCCAGGGGAAAUUUACAUUGUUUAUUGAGUCUGAGUUCUCUUGGUAAUUUGUCUGUUAAAUCUGGGUUAGUAUUGGAGUUCUGAAUUUUCGGUGAGUGUAAUCACUCUUGAGCUUUCGUAGACUUGUCUACAGUAGUUCUAGUGCUUUUUCGCUUAGUCUUCAGGUUAGUAUUUGUUUCUUGUUCUAGUCUAGAUUCAGUGUUUGUCUAGUGAGUGUAAUCACUCUUCCGACUAUCAUUCCUGCCUGGGUAUUACCUUCUGUGGAUUAGUUAAUUCCUGUUAAAAUAUUCGCGUUCCACCAGCUGCCUAAGGGCUCUGCUGAGUUAGUCUGUGUUUUGUAGAAAUUCAGUGACAGUCACUUCCGGUUGUAGUUUUCUGGUUCAGUCUUGUAGUUUGGUAUCUUGUGAAUCUCUGUUAAA